AUACGUAGGGGGCGAGCGUUGUCCGGAAUGAUUGGGCGUAAAGGGCGCGUAGGCGGCCCGGUAAGUCUGGAGUGAAAGUCCUGUUUUUAAGAUGGGAAUUGCUUUGGAUACUGUCGGGCUUGAGUGCAGGAGAGGUAAGUGGAAUUCCCAGUGUAGCGGUGAAAUGCGUAGAGAUUGGGAGGAACACCAGUGGCGAAGGCGACUUACUGGACUGUAAUUGACGCUGAGGCGCGAAAGUGUGGGUAGCAAACAGGAUUAGAUACCCUGGUAGUCCACACUGUAAACGAUGAAUGCUAGGUGUAGGGGGUAUCGACCCCUGCUGUGCCGCAGUCAACACAAUAAGCAUUCCGCCUGGGGAGUACGGCCGCAAGGCUAAAACUCAAAUGAAUUGACGGGG
rnacentral:rRNA from 1 species